rnacentral:rRNA from 1 species
UAAUACGUAGGGUGCGAGCGUUAAUCGGAAUUACUGGGCGUAAAGCGUGCGCAGGCGGUAAUGCAAGACAGAUGUGAAAUCCCCGGGCUUAACCUGGGAACUGCAUUUGUGACUGCAUUGCUGGAGUGCGGCAGAGGGGGAUGGAAUUCCGCGUGUAGCAGUGAAAUGCGUAGAUAUGCGGAGGAACACCGAUGGCGAAGGCAAUCCCCUGGGCCUGCACUGACGCUCAUGCACGAAAGCGUGGGGAGCAAACAGGAUUAGAUACCCUGGUAGUCCACGCCCUAAACGAUGUCAACUGGUUGUUGGGUCUUAACUGACUCAGUAACGAAGCUAACGCGUGAAGUUGACCGCCUGGGGAGUACGGCCGCAAGGUUGAA